UAUCGCUGCACACAUACAGGGAGCUUGCUCCCAGAGACGCUGCGUGGAAAGUCCCCGUGCCCGCGGGCAGAGAGUGCUAGCAGGAGACUGCGCGGCCCCGGCAGUGGUAUGUGUGGCGACACUUCUGGUGGAACUUCCAUGCCGUGCCUGGGCCAUUUGCAUCAGCACAGCUAUCUCGUGAGCGCCCUCCAGAGGGCGCCAACUGAACGGGGCUCACUCUCU
rnacentral:RNase_MRP_RNA from 1 species